UACGAAGGGGGCUAGCGUUGCUCGGAAUCACUGGGCGUAAAGCGCACGUAGGCGGAUUUCUAAGUCAGGGGUGAAAUCCUGGAGCUCAACUCCAGAACUGCCUUUGAUACUGAAGAUCUUGAGUCCGGGAGAGGUGAGUGGAACUGCGAGUGUAGAGGUGAAAUUCGUAGAUAUUCGUAAGAACACCAGUGGCGAAGGCGGCUCACUGGCCCGGUACUGACGCUGAGGCACGAAAGCGUGGGGAGCAAACAGG
rnacentral:rRNA from 1 species